CAGUUAUAGAAAACUAUGGUGAUAUUUACAGAUGGAUGUACUAUGAACAUUAUAUACAGGUGCUAAACGAGCCUCUAGAAAUCUUUUGUCCUGUUUUCAGUGUUUACACUUGAGGCUUGUGUUAUACCACUACCUUACCACAUCAGCUUCUUCAGAUCCUAAAUAAAUCAUAGAUUAGUUUGCAAAUUUACGAAAAUCAAGCCCCAGUUUAGCCUGAUCGAGUUCACUGAAGCGAAAGUGCAGUUCUUCAUCCGCUCCACUAGGCGGCGCGAGCGACUUCACGUCCUGUCUGACUCAGCUUCAGGUGUUUGUUUGACAACAAGGAGCGCGUGAUGACAGACACCAAAACAAAACGCGUGCAGUUUGAUUAAAAAUAAACAAUUUACAAAUGACAGCUUAGCGACAGACUCUUAAUGUGUUUAAACAGCACAUAUUCCAGCUCAACAGCAAAUUAAAGCAGCGCAAUCUGCGAUAAAGUGCAGGAAUGGAGUGAAGAGACUCACCUAGUGAAGGUUGUGUUUGGACUGUUCAGCCAACAGAAUCAGAGCUCUGGGACAUUUGACAGCCAUGGACUGUAAGGAUGGACGUCUGCUGCUGGACAGGUGAGACCCGCACCUUGUGUUUGAGGUUUGGUGUGUCGGUUACCAUCAUUUUCUUUCUGGAGGGUCGUCCCUCAGGAAAGGAAAUGAUGGUAACCGAAAUGGGAGGAGAAGGGACGAGGGUCCAGAUUUUUAUACAGCUAAAUUUAUUUUGUGGUAAAAAGCAGCAUAACCCCUGCUGUACAUGGCCCCGUAGGUCAGGGUGGGACCCAACCCAUCCCACCCCUUCUUUCACACCACAUUCACACAUAUCGCAGUGAUCUGGCUGGGAUUGAACCAGCGACCUCUUAACCCAUGAGGCAUUGCUCUACCACUGAGCCACAGAUCACAUAAAUAAAGAUGUGCUGGAACUCAUAUUUGACUAUUAUUUCACUGCCUGAUGUGCAAUAAAGGAGCAGAGCUGGGCUUUGAACCCAAGUCUUUAUGACAGCCUUCAGCAUGGAGCACAUGUGUUCAGCCAGUAGCGCCACUGUGACUUUCACUCUAGUUUGAGGAGUUAAGCAAAGUUUGUCAGAUAUAAUGGCGUUUAUUUAAUCUGUGCAACAGUGAGAUUUGAACCCAGGACUUCUUACUUGCAACACAACUCUCUAACCACUGAGCCACAGAUCUGUUGUCUGAGCACAUGCUGGGAAUUAUAUUUCACUCUGCUUUUACAAUUAUUCUGUUAAAACAGGCAGAAGGAGGAUUUGGACCCUUGAUUCAAUCAUCAAGAGAAGAUUCACACAUAUCACAGCAAUCUGGUUGGGAUUAUACCAGCAACCUCUUAACCCAUGAGGCAUUGCUCUACCACUGAGCCACAGAUCUCACACAGGAUGACAUGCUGGAAUUUAUAUUUGACUAUUAUUUUACUUCCGGGUGUGCAAUAAAUGAGCAGAGCUGGGCUUUGAAUCCAAGUCUCUACUACAGCCUAUACCAUGGAGAACAUGUGUUCUGACAGGAGCACCACUGUGGCUUUCACAGAUGUUUGAGGAGUUUAGCAAAGUUUGUCUGAUGAAAUGCUGUUCAUUUAAUAUAUAUGAGACUUGAACACAGGACUUCUUAAUAUUAAUGCAGCACUCUAACCACUGAGCCACAAAUAUGUGGGCUGUGUUUAUGGUGGAACUUAUAUUUCACUCUGAUUUUACAACAAUCCUGUUAAAAGAGGCUGAAACAGGAUUUGAAUCUCUAACUCCAUCACCCUGAAACCAUGUCUAUAACCACAUGCACCACUGUGCCUACAACACUGAAAGCACAUGUGUUUGACUCGUUGUCAGAUCUAAUAACAUAUUUAGCAUCAUUUAAAGAGGGAUUUGAACCCACAACAGUGAACACGUCUAACCAGAUGCACCACUGUGACUUUCGUGCUAAAUGCUGGUGUUUUGGAGACUUUGUUACAUUUUAGGACAUCUAUCUUCACAAUUAAAAGUGACAUUUAAACCCA